GCUGGGCCCAUAACCCAGAGGUCG
rnacentral:piRNA from 2 species